AAAUCAAAAAACAACCCACGCCAGAACUGAUGUCCAGACUUCCCAAGCAGUGAUUUAAAGGACGUGGCCACAGACCAAUGAAAAGGACGAGGAGGUGGGACCGCCGCUUCCGCCGUGCCAGAAGUACCGUUACAGGGCAGGCUUUUUGUCCAAUCAACGCCUCGAGGCUCUGGGUCAGGUGACCAUGAAGUGCGAGGGGGGGCGGAGCUACGGCCUGGCGCGAGGAACCGUUAAGAUAGACAACGACCACAACCAAUGAGGUACUGCGAUUAGGGCGUUGGGAACCCAAUAACCGCGUCGGGGCGGGCGCCUUCCCGUAGCGCGGGGAGAUGUGAAGACGGACAAAGAGUUUUUCCAAUGAGAAAGCCGAGGAGCGGAGUUAAUUGACCAAUGAGGUCUGCGGGGCGGGAGCCUUUGCCGCGGCGAAGUCCAAGAUGGCGGCGUGCGAGUCCGCUGUGUGAAACGAGCGCGGGGUGGCGGGUUAGUCAGCUCCGCAGGGACGACCUCCGGCGACCCUCCACGAUGAAAGGGAAGGAGCGCUCGCCGGUCAAGCCCAAACGCUCCCGCGGUGGCGAGGAAUCCGGUUCUCGCGGGGAGCGGAGCAAGAAGUUAGGGGGCUCCGGCGGCAGCAACGGGAGCAGCAGCGGCAAGGCGGACGGCGGCGGGUCGCGGCGGAGCCUCCACCUGGACAAGUCCGGCAGCCGGGGCGGCAGCCGCGAGUAUGACACCGGCGGGGGCAGCUCCGGGAGCCGCUUGCACAGUUACAGCUCCCCGAGCACCAAAAAUUCCUCAGGCGGGGGCGAGUCGCGCAGCAGCUCCCGGGGUGGAGGCGGGGAGUCACGUUCCUCCGGGGCCGCCUCCUCAGCGCCUGGCGGCGGGGACGGCGUGGAGUACAAGACCCUGAAGAUCAGCGAGCUGGGGUCGCAGCUGAGUGACGAGGCGGUGGAGGACGGGCUGUUUCACGAGUUCAAGCGCUUCGGUGACGUGAGUGUCAAAAUCAGUCACCUCUCAGGUUCUGGCAGCGGGGACGAGCGGGUAGCCUUUGUGAACUUCCGGAGGCCGGAGGACGCGAGGGCGGCCAAGCACGCCCGAGGCCGCCUGGUGCUCUACGACCGGCCUCUGAAGAUAGAAGCCGUGUACGUGAGCCGGCGCCGCAGCCGCUCCCCGUUAGACAAAGAUACUUACCCUCCGUCGUCCAGCGUGGUGGGAACCUCCGUGGGUAGCCACAGGCACGCCCCUGGAGGAGGUGGAGGCCAGAGGUCACUUUCCCCCGGCGGGGCUGCUUUGGGAUACAGAGACUACCGGUUGCAGCAGUUGGCUCUUGGCCGCCUGCCUCCUCCACCCCCGCCGCCCUUGCCCCGAGAGCUGGAAAGAGAACGAGACUAUCCGUUCUAUGACCGAGUGCGCCCAGCUUAUAGCCUUGAGCCGAGGGUGGGAGCCGGGGCGGGGGCUGCUCCUUUCCGAGAAGUGGAUGAGAUAUCACCCGAGGAUGACCAGCGUGCCAACCGGACACUUUUCUUGGGCAACUUAGAUAUCACUGUGACAGAAAGUGAUCUCAGAAGGGCUUUUGAUCGCUUCGGAGUCAUCACAGAAGUGGACAUUAAGAGGCCUUCUCGUGGCCAGACCAGUACCUAUGGCUUUCUCAAAUUUGAGAAUCUAGACAUGUCUCACAGGGCCAAACUAGCGAUGUCUGGCAAAAUUAUAAUUCGGAAUCCAAUCAAGAUUGGUUAUGGUAAAGCCACACCCACUACCCGACUUUGGGUGGGUGGCCUGGGACCUUGGGUGCCUCUUGCUGCCCUGGCACGAGAAUUUGACCGAUUUGGCACCAUUCGAACAAUAGACUACCGAAAAGGUGACAGUUGGGCAUAUAUACAGUAUGAAAGCCUGGAUGCCGCGCAUGCUGCCUGGACGCAUAUGCGUGGAUUCCCACUUGGCGGCCCAGAUCGUCGCCUCAGAGUAGACUUUGCAGACACAGAACAUCGUUACCAGCAGCAAUAUCUUCAGCCUCUGCCUUUGACUCAUUAUGAACUAGUGACAGAUACUUUUGGACAUCGAGCACCUGACCCUUUGAGGAGUGCUCGGGAUCGGACCCCACCCCUGCUAUACAGAGAUCGUGAUAGGGACCUUUAUCCUGAUUCCGAUUGGGUGCCACCCCCACCACCAGUUCGAGAACGCAGUGCUCGGGCUGCAGCUAGUGCUGUGACUGCUUACGAGCCACUGGACAGCUUGGAUCGAAGGAGAGAUGGCUGGUCAUUGGACAGGGACAGAGGUGAUCGGGAUUUGCCGAGCAGCAGGGACCAGCCAAGGAAGCGAAGGCUGCCUGAGGAAAGUGGAGGACGGCAUCUGGAUAGAUCACCUGAGAGUGACCGGCCUCGAAAACGUCACUGCACUCCUUCUCCUGACCGAAGUCCAGAACUGAGCAGUAACAGAGAUCGCUACAACAGUGACAAUGACCGAUCAUCUCGUGUUCUUCUCUUGGAAAGGCCCUCUCCAAUCAGAGAUAGACGGGGCAGUUUGGAGAAGAGCCAGAGUGACAAGCGAGACCGUAAAAACUCUGCAUCAGCUGAACGGGAUAGGAAGCACCGGACAGCUGCUCCCACAGAGGGGAAAAACACUCUGAAAAAGGAAGAACGAUCUGAUGGCAAUGCACCCAGUGCCAGCACUUCUUCAUCAAAGCAGAAGCCACCUUCCCAGAAACAGGAUGGAGGGACAGCUCCUGUGGCAGCAUCCUCUCCCAAACUCUGUUUGGCUUGGCAGGGCAUGCUUCUCCUGAAGAACAGCAACUUCCCUUCCAACAUGCAUCUGUUGCAGGGUGACCUCCAAGUUGCUAGCAGUCUACUCGUGGAGGGCUCAACUGGAGGCAAAGUAGCCCAGCUCAAGAUCACCCAGCGGCUCCGUUUGGACCAGCCCAAGUUGGAUGAAGUAACUCGGCGCAUCAAAGUGGCAGGGCCUAAUGGCUAUGCCAUUCUUCUGGCUGUACCUGGAAGUUCUGACAGCCGAUCUUCCUCUUCCUCAGCCACAUCAGACACUGCCACCUCUACUCAGAGGCCACUUAGGAACCUUGUGUCCUAUUUAAAGCAAAAGCAGGCAGCUGGGGUGAUCAGCCUCCCUGUGGGAGGCAACAAAGACAAGGAAAACACCGGGGUUCUUCAUGCCUUCCCACCCUGUGAGUUCUCUCAGCAGUUCCUGGAUUCCUCUGCCAAGGCACUGGCCAAAUCAGAAGAAGAUUACCUGGUCAUGAUCAUUGUCCGUGCAAAACUGGUGAACAGCGGAUGAAGAUACGGAAUUCAAAGCUCUAAUGGACCUUUUUGAAGAGAAGCUGUGGCUUAUGUGGAGUUUACAUGGGCCUCUGAUCGAAGAAAGCUAAUCUGUUUAGUAUUUUGUGCAUUUUACUAAAAUGGCAGCUUAACAUUGUGUAUCUGCUAUUGUGAUGCCAAUGCCGGUGUUUUAAGUGGAAAAAAAUGACCUCUUUGCUUUGUGCUGUGUACACAAGAUUUCUGGAAAAGUAAAGAAAAACCCUUUUUAUGGCUCACACAGCUUAAAAGUAGCUGUCACUCAAACAUGGGCUCACAGUUGAGCUGCUUUUGUUUUAUUCUAAAUAAAUUGUUUCUUUUGAGGAAAAUGUUUUUCUGCCUGGAAGUGAAUUGACGGCAAACCUUGACCCCUUUGUUUGCAGCGGAGGGGGUACUUGCUGCUGCUCAGAUCUUGUAUGUCUUGAGCAAGAAGCAGGGAGACCAUCAAUUUCGUUUUGACUAUCACAGUGUGUCAAUUCUGAAGGAUCAUAGUGUUACAGUGACCCCCUUUGUUUGCAGUGAAGGGGAUCCUUGGCUUCUCGGUCCUCAACACGAUGAGGGUGCUGUUUGCUGGUGUGCAAGAAGCUGGGCAAGCACUCUAAGCCUCACCACAGUGCACGAGUCGGGGGCUUUGCUGGUUUGAAGAGCCGGAGUUCCUGAAAUUUAAGUUUUGAUUUAUUUUGUUCACCCAUCACGUUUGGCUUUAGUUUCAUUUUUUAAUUUGAAGAAAAGUUUGAAAUUGCAUUAUCUUGCACUUUUAACAUUUGCACCAAAUUGCCAAAAGAAGGAGAAAUGCUCCGGUUGCUUUUUAAAUGUUAAUGAUGAUGUUAAUAAAGCCUUUCCUGACACAUUUGAGGAGCUCCUCCGUCUCCAGGGGCUUCUUACCAGAGUUAUGCAGUGAUGGGUUUAGUUCUGAAUGGAUGAAGAGUUCCUGAGAGCUAGCAUUUGUAAUUAGAACCGUUACUUGGUAUCUGUGCCUUAUUUGACCUGUGGUUCCACAUGCCUUGGAUGUGCAUGCACCGUGACGGUUUCAUAGGUUCGAACGCACACUCAGGCCCAGUCACUUCGGUUGGUAGUACAGAUUGUGAGGAAAAAAAUGGAGGCAUCCUUAAGGAGGAUUUUGUUUGCCUUUAGUUCCUGCAUUAUCCUGUACAGGGCCUCUUGAGCUUUGGAAGCCUGUUCCCAGUACAGGAGAAAAACUCCCCUGUUUGCUGCAGGAGACUUCAGUGCACAGUGACAACGCUGGAGUUCAAGAGGAAGCCAGCAAUUCUGCACCUUUGGCUUCAGACACCAUGGUUGUUUGCCAGUUUUAAACUUAAUAGUUGCAGACGAAGACCACCUUGACAUGCAGGCUUGUUGGGCUUGUUUUGAAUUUUAACCUCGGAUGGAAGAGCCCUAGUGCUGUCCUGUCUCCAUGCGGGAUGAUGAUUGCUAGGCAACAGGUGAUUAUCAACCAAGGAUGCCCCGGUUAUACUCUGCAAGGUGGUGUUCCAGUGGUAAACAGCUGUAUAAACUUGUAAACAGGAACUACUGACAAAACCUAUAGCUGACUUUUGGAUAUGGCUUUAUUACUCAGCAACUAAAAGAGGAGUUCUAAUUGCCAGACUUCUGGCACUGACAUUGUCCUCCUGUUUCUAUAGAAACUGGGUUGGAAGUCAGAGCUGCACAGAGGGAAAGGGAAGGAGAAAUAUGUUGUUUAUGUAUUCACUGUUACCAUUUUAAACAAACAUUUUGACUGAGGAUUUACUGUUUGCCAGAUUCCUACUUAAACAUGCCUAUAUUCUUUCAUAGGAAUUUCUGCUUUUCAUUUGGUAAUAUAGAUGGGUAAGUAAAAAUGAAAAUCUCUUACAGCUCUGAAAAUUACCAGCAUACAUUUACAUUUAAAGGUGAACACAGUCACAUAAUUUCCCAUGCCUCAUAAUAAUCAAGUAACCUGUUUUUAUUUUUAUUUUCAAGUACUAGGAAUUGAACCUAGGGCCUCACCUGUGUUAGGCCUACCACUGAACUAUAUCUCCAUUACAAAGAACUGAGUUAAUCUGAAAGCCAACAUUUGUAGAGUUCCUUUGAUAGUUGCUGCUGAAGUCAGAACUUGGGAAGAGAUCCAUUGGUCUUUAUAAAGUUAUCUCUAUCAUUUCAUAGAGGAGUGACUUUACAGAAACAAGGGCUUCCCCGAAACCUCUCCCUUCAACAAGGUGCUUAGCCCUAUAAUGUCCCUCUCAGUGAGAUGUCCUUAAUUUGUCUUAUCAUAAUCUUGAGAUACUGUGAGCAACUAAUUUCUAGACUAAAAAUUAACAUGACCUUUUAUCAGUAGACCGAUCACUACCUUUGACUUGUUAGAACUUACUAUGACUGCCCAAGUAACAAUCUUAUGAUUAGUGGAUACAAGUAUUUAUCAGGAGCUCCAUAUUUAUUCUUACAUAUAGAUGGAAGUAUUGUAGGCUUUGGUAAGAAAAGUCUAUAAACAUUUUUCUAACUGAUUGAAAACAUAUAUAUUUUAUAAUGCAUUAGGUGCAUGUGUGAAGUAAAA